rnacentral:rRNA from 1 species
GACGAACGCUGGCGGCGUGCUUAACACAUGCAAGUCGAACGGUAAGGCCCUUCGGGGUACACGAGUGGCGAACGGGUGAGUAACACGUGGGUGAUCUGCCCUGCACUUCGGGAUAAGCCUGGGAAACUGGGUCUAAUACCGGAUAGGACCACUGCCUGCAUGGGUGGUGGUGGAAAGCUUUUGCGGUGUGGGAUGGGCCCGCGGCCUAUCAGCUUGUUGGUGGGGUGAUGGCCUACCAAGGCGACGACGGGUAGCCGGCCUGAGGGGGUGACCGGCCACACUGGGACUGAGAUACGGCCCAGACGCCUACGGGAGGCAGCAGUGGGGAAUAUUGCACAAUGGGCGCAAGCCUGAUGCAGCGACGCCGCGUGAGGGAUGACGGCCUUCGGGUUGUAAACCUCUUUCAGCACCGACGAAGCGCAAGUGACGGUAGGUGCAGAAGAAGCCCCGGCUAACUUCGUGCCAGCCGCCGCCGUAACAC